AAAGAAAUUCAGUUAAACAGAAAAUAGUUACUAAUUGGAUACAAAACAUCUAUAGAAUAAAUACAAAUUUUUUUUUUUUUUUUUGAGUUGGAAAUUUAUGCACAAAUUAUUAGGCUCUUCAAAUUUUACCGAAUCAAUAGCAUAAUGCAUAUAUUGGUUAUUACUCCAGCUGGCAAGACCAUUAAAAUGGAUGUACUGGAUGAGCCCAGUGAAACAAAAUUAUCCACAAUCGAUGAUAAAUUAGCCAAAACAACGACAACAACAGCAACAUCCCAAGUAACAAGGCCUCAAUAAAAUACUAGCCAAAAUUGAAGAUUAUCUUAACCAUAACACAAGAUAAGUCUGAAAGAAAAGCAAACCCAGGGGAGUAAGCAAGAAAAAGUAGUUAGAGAAAUGCAUUUUUUGUGCCGUAAAUGCUCAACUGAAGAUUUACAAAAAUCUGUCAUAUAUGUGGGCUUGGCCGAUCUAAUGCUCGAGUUAUUACGUUUCUAUUUAUUUCAAUGGGCCACCGAGUCACAGUGCGGUAAAAACAUCUUUGACCUGGCUAGCCAUAAGCGUAACCCUAACACUUGUCGCACAAAUAUUGACUGAUUUAAUUCUAGUUAUUGGCGCUAGCAAAGAGCGUUCAACUUGUGUUUUGGCUUAUCUAAUUUUGAUACCCACAUUGUUCGUAGUAACAUUCACCUUGGCCGGUGUCAUAAUAGCCAGGUACUUUCAAUGCCUUAAUUUUUAUAUAUAUUUUGGCAUACCUUUGCAUAUUGCCACCCCUGCCUUUUGGUUUCUUGCUUAUACCUAUUAUAAAGAAUUGAAGGAGCGAGAUGUAUUUGGUACUUCACCAGCUUGAGAAGGCAGAGAGGGGCUAUACAUACAUAUAUUGAUUGGCCACAUCAAAGGCAGCAGCAACAGCAAACAAUGCAAAGAGAGAGACCGAACAAGUGAAAGCUCACGUUCUCGUAACAUAAUCUUGAAAACAUGAAGACAAAAAAAAAAAAAAAAAAUAGAAAAAACUUUAUCACUUAACGAAAAAGGGCAAAACCACGUGCUAAGCAAAUUAAUUUGGAUUCUAUUCCUUCACUAAGAUAUUGUCUUAGACUGCAAACUGUCUGUGAAGUGAAGUGGCGGAAAAGUGGCAAAAGGAAUGUUGACUGAGAAUUUAACGCUUAAAAUGCCAAACACACUCAAAUAUUUUGAAAUUCAAAGCAUACAAAUAUAUACAUACAU